ACCAAAAAAUAUAUAUGAAGUUACUCAAUUUCUUUCAUCACUGAAGAAAUGCAAAUUAAAUCAAUGAGAUUAUUUGUAUUUAUCUGAUUGACAGAGAUAAGGUUCGGUCAUGCUCAGGGUUCCUAUGUAAAAUGGCACCGUUUCUUAGAAUACACAUUCUCUGACAAAUAUCAUAGCUUGAAUUCCCCAGAAAGCAGAGUCCAGAGGCAAAGGCUUACAUGCUGCCAAUUAAUCCCAGGAAGCAGGAGAGGAGCUCAAUGAACAGGGAAGGAGGGAGACCAGGAAGGAGAGUGAAUUAAAGAAAUUAGGUGAAAACUGUAACAUAUUUUUAAACUUUUUUUCACAUAUCAUAUAGUUGGUAGUGUUUCUAUUUUGAAACUUUUCUCUGUGGGUAAAACAAAUAGGCAAUUUUGUGGUAUUCCAAAUUCCACAUCUUCAGUGUUCUCAAGAACCAGGAUUCUCAGGGUCAAAGAGAAGGGAUAGGGCUUCCCUGGUGGCGCAGUGGUUGAGAGUCCGCCUGCCGAUGCAGGGGACACGAGUUCGUGUCCCGGUCCGGGAGGAUCCCACAUGCCGCCGAGCGGCUGGGCCCGUGAGCCAUGGCUGCUGAGCCUGCGCGUCCGGAGCCUGUGCUCUGCAACGGGAGAGGCCACAACAGUGAGAGGCCCACGUACCGCAAAAAAAAAAAAUAAUAAUAAAAAGAGAAGGGAUGGAGAUGUAAAAUAAGAGAGAUUAAGUAAAACUCUGUAGCCCUACAUUUGAAUUGGAAACAUCACUUUGAGACUAUGACAUACUUUUUAUAAAACAAAAUAAACCAUUUUUUUCCAUGUCUUUCUGCUGAAAAAGCUUUGUAAAAAAUGACAACCCCAGUAGCAGUGAGGACCUCCAGCACCUUGGUUACUCUCCAAAUCAUCUUCCAUUGAAAGGAACCAGGGCUCCUUGGAAAAAUCACUGAUACCAAGUCUGAGACAGGAAAUGUACGAGAUGAGCCUGAACAUCAUAUCAUAUUAGGAAGCAAGGAAGUUAUCAAAGCUACAGGAGUCAUAUCUGAAAGACCAGAAGCCAACUUGAAGGUUCCCAUUAACCAAAAAUAGCUUAAUUUAACCUCCAUACCCCGCCUCCCAGCCCUCAGUACAGGAUCCCCUCUAGUCAUGAACCAUGAAAACUGAAUCCUGUCUCAAUAGAAACCUCCCAUCUCCUGUGCUGAAUAUGUGGAAUGCCAAGUUUGAAUCUUCUUUAGGCUAUACCUGGGGGAAGGGGGCACUAACCAAAAAGGCUUCAGAUUGACCCAGAUCUAUUUGAUUUUUCUAUUCCCCACCACCUCAACCUCACCCCAUCCCCUCUCACUCACCCUUAACACACGCAGCCAUCUACUCAGUCCUUCCCUCAUCAAAAAGGCCUUCCCUAUUCUUGCCAGGUGAGAAUGGCUUUACAUAAUAUUCUUUCCAUAUCAUCUCAAUGGCUAAAGUGAUCUGAGUCAACCAGGUCUUGGCUCUUGCCAUUUCAAGAGAGGGCUUUUGAAAUUCGUAAAGACCUGUAUCUCUCAGUCAAGCCUUUCAAACAACCAUUGAUUCAAUGCUCAGGAAGUCAGAGGGAAACCCAAAACUUAAGUGUCAGAGAAGAACAAAGUGUUUAUGUCUUCAAACCUGUUAUCCUUCAGCUACUGGACCUGUCAGUCAAUCUCAGCAUCACUAAAAGUGGAACACACAGACAUUAUGUGUUCCUGAGGGGAUGCAAUUAUGAUUUGCACAGCACAGAACCAACUGUGAACUAGUCAUACCUUAAACACUGAACCUGAAUCUAAUCAAGUUUUAAAUAUAGCUUUCAAUGCAGAGGAAAUACGAAGGUGCAAUAAAAGUUAAAUAACACCCUGAAAAAACAGAUAAGUCAUAGAACAUUCUGUGGGACAAAAGCAUGUAUAAAGAAGGGGAGGGGGUAUAUGCUGCAGAUUCAGAAACUAAAGAAACAGAACAAUGAAAUGAAACAUGUGGACCUUGCUUGGGUCCUGACUCAAACAAACAUUAUAAAAAUACAUUUUUAAUGCAAUCCCUGAUUUUUUAUGCAAUUAGGAAAAUUUGAAUAUAGACUAGGUAUUACCCGAUAUCAAGGAAUUACCACUUAUUUUGUUAGACGUGCUUUUUAAUAGAAAAAUGUUCUAAUGUUUUAAAGAUGCAUAUUGAAAUAUGUUGGGGUAAAACAACAUGAUAUUAUGGAUUUAUUUUAAAGUAGUUUAUACUUUACUUUUUCAAAAUAUUUAUUUAUUUAUUUAGCUACACCGGGUCUGAGUUGCAGCACACUGGCUCUUUAGUUGCGGCAUGUAGGAUCUAGUUCCCUGAUCAGGAACCGAACGGGGGGCCCCUGCAUUGGGAGAGUGGAGUCUUAGCCACUGGACCACCAGGCAAGUCCCUAUUAAAGUAGUUUAAAAAAAAAAAGAAGAAUUCAAUCUAAAUGUACCAACCUGAGAAAAUGUCUAUAAUACAUUUUCUCAGGUUGGUACAUGCAAAAUGCAAGUUGAAGAUAAAAAUAUAUAACAUAAUUAUAUUUCAUCAAUAUAAAAUUUUGUAGUUAGAUGAUAGAUAUAGAAACUUGACCCUAUACAUGUGGAUAAAAUAGGAAUAAAAUGCACAGAAUUUAAAUAACAGUUACCUUGGGGGAAAAGUGUUGCUUGGAAAGAAAGAGGACUUUGAAAUAUAACUUUUAAUAAUUGUUUACAGUUGUACUGUAAUUGACGAAUAUUUACUUUUUGUUCUUUAAUUAUUUGUCAAAUAAAAAAUUAAAAACCUUAAAACCACAAACUUAAAAUUUAAACCUAUUCUACUUAUUACAUAUAUAGAAAAAUGAAGAGAGAACAUCUGGAAGGACAAGAGUUAAUGGUGAUUUCCUCUGAGAACAGGCAUUUGGAGGAGCUGGCAAGACAACUAGAAAUUUCAUCCUGCAGACCUCAGUACUGAUUGAACGUUUUAUAACAAGCAUGAGGUAAAUUCACCAUUGAAAGAAAAAGGAAAAAAGUUAAUACACAAACUCAAAGCCUAGAAAAAACAAUUAAAUCAAACAUCUUUUUAUAUACAACCUAUCAACUUCUUGAGGAUGCAUAUUUCAUCAAAUAUCUGCUCUUAAUAAAAAAGAGAAGAAACAGUAAAAUGUUACCAACUGGUUAAAAACAAACACCAAGUUGUUGUGAUCAGCUUUGGGUUUAAAAUCCUGGAUUCAAAUCCCAGAGUUGUCACUACGACUAUAUGACAUUGGCCAAAUUACAACAUCUCUCUUAGCCACAUGACAACUAUGAAAGGGGUUAAAUAACAGGAGAAGCCCAAACCAAAUCCUUGUUCGGCCAUUUACCAUCUGUUGUGUCCUUGGUUGAGUGACAAUUUCCCUGUGCCUCGGUUUUCUCAUCUGGAAAAUGGAGGGAACAACCUCCUAGGAUUGUGGUGAAGAUUAAAGGAGUUACAUACAAAACAUUCAGAACAAUGCCAACCCCAAAUAAACCCUUCAGUAAGUGGGGUUAUUAUCACCUCCUAUGCAGGAACUACAAAAACUUAAAUGAGAUUCUGCACAUUGAGCACUUUGCACAGUACCUUGGUAGCCGUUAUACUCAUCAAUCCAGGAUUAAGUGUAUUUUUUUAUUGUGGUUAAAAAAAUAUAUAUACAUAAAAUGUGCCAUCUUAACCAUUUUUAACUGUACAAUUCAGUAGUGUUAAGUAUAUUCACACUGUUGUAAAAUAGAUCGCCAGAACUUUUUCAUCCUGCAUAACUGAAACCUUGUACCCAUUAGACAACAACUCCUUUUUACCCCUUCUCCCCAGCCCCACCAUUAUACUUUCUUUUUCUAUGAAUUUGACUACUUUAGGUACCCCAGACUAGUGGAACCACACAGUAUUUGUCUUUUUGUGACUCGCUUAUUUCAUUUAGCAUAAUGUCCUAAAAGUUCAUCUGUGUUGUAGCAUGUGCAAGGAUUUCUUCCUUUUUGAGGCUGAAUAAUAUCCCAUUGCUUGUAUAUACCACAUUUUGUCUAUUUGUCCAUCCGUUGAUGGACACUUGGGUUGCUUCCAUCUCUUGGCUAUCAGGAGUAGUGCUGCUAUGAAUAUGAGUAUGCAAAUAUCUCUUCAGCACUCUGCUUUCAGUUCUUUUGGAUAUAUACCCAGAAGUAGGAUUGCUGGAUCAUAUGGUAGUGCUAUUUUCAAUUUUGUGAGGAACUUCCAUACUACUUUCCCUAGCAGCUGUACCAUUUUACCUUCCCACCAACAGUGUGCAAGAGUUCCAGUUUUAUCACAUCCUCUCUAACACCUGUUAUUUUCUGUUUUGUUUUCUUUUAAUAGUAGCCAUCCUACUAUCAAGUAUCAGGUGACAUCUCAGUGGUUUUGAUUUGCAUUUCUCUUAUGAUUAGUGAGGUUGAGCAUAUUUUCAUGCAGUUGUUAGCCAUUUGUAUUUCUUCUUUGGACAUACAUCUAUUCAAGUCCUAUUUCUCUUAAAAAAGAAAGAGAAGAAACACUAAAAUGUUACCAACUGGUUAAAAACAAACACCAGUAUGGUUAUGAUCAGGUUUGUGUUCUCUCUCUCCCUCUUUUACUGUGUCCCCCCAUGGCAGACAGAGAGAGAGUUCUUUGGCAUCCCUUCUUAUAAGGAAAGGACACUAAUCCUAUCAAAUCAGGGCCCCACCCUUAGGUCCUCAUUUAACUUUAAUUCAUAAAGCCCCCAUCUCCAAAUACAAGCACACUGGGGGUUAGAGCUUCAUGAAGUUGGAGGGGGACUCAACUCAGCCCAUACCACUGAGUAAGUGCAUACAGGUUCCAUAAAUCUGCUGUGGCUUGUCACCCUUGCCAUGAGCUUCUUCAAGCUACGGCCAUCUCACAAUGCCUAUAUCACUGUAAUCAUCACCCUCACCUUCAUCCUUAUCAUCAACAAAUUGUAGUUUUCUUUCCAGGGAGAUUCUCUCAGGCCCCCUUGAUGGAGCUUUAUCAAGACAAAUGUCUAGCAUAUCAAGGAAACAAAGUCUUGUGGACUUUUACAAUAACCAAGAAGAGGCGGAUCCACUAAGGCCUAAACUGAAAUUCUUCAGUAACCUGAGUCCUCAGCUAGAGCAAAAUCUACUGCAAAGCUGCUCUCCUCUUUGAGCAGGGGGCUGAAUGCUGAAGGUCAUAAAAAAUUCAACAGGUGCAAGUACUGCUCAUGAACUCUAAUAAUUUAUUUUGCAUUCAUGGUGCAUUUAGGUUUAUAGGACAUUGUCAAUAAAUUGUUGCAAUGUGCAUUUAUGUUUAUGAUUUAUAAAUAUUGUAAAUACUAUGAUGAUUAUUGAAAGGCAUACUGACAAAUCUUACUGAUUACCAAUGUUUAAAUAUGUCAGUUUUGUUUGAAGGGUAAAAACUGUCCGUACUUUUUAAUUCUCAAGGCUCUUAUCUCUAAAGUGGACACAUUUUUUUUUUUUUUUUAGUUUUUUUAUUAUUCACUUUAUUUUCCAGUUUGGGUCACAUAUAAUGAUUUUUUUCUUUUUUUUUAACAUCUUUAUUGGAGUAUAAUUGCUUUACAAUGGUGUGUUAGUUUCUGCUUUAUAACAAAGUGAAUCAGCUAUACAUAUACUUAUAUCCCCAUAUCUCCUCCCUCUUGUGUCUCCCUCCCACCCUUCCUACCCCUCUAGGUGGUCACAAAGCACCGAGCUGAUUUCCCUGUGCUACGCGGCUGCUUCCUGCUAGUUGGCUAUUUUACAUGUGGUAGUGUAUAUAUGUCCAUGCCACUCUCUCACUUCGUCCCAGCUUACCCUUCCCCCUCCCUGUGUCCUCAAGUCCAUUCUCUAUGUCUGGGUCUUUAUUCCUGUCCUGCCCCUAGGACACAUAUCUAGAGGUAUCAAGUAAAACAAGAUUCCAAAUAUGGAGGAAAUGGUCCCCGUUCUUGUGACAGCUACUUAAUAAAGUAAUAAAACAAAGGUAAAAGCUAGACAACAUGUAAAGCUGGCCACCAAGAGAGUAAGUCACAAACUGAACACAGCACUUUCCUCCAGGCUAGAUCUUAUAGACACACACACCGUCGGUUUCAAAAUCAUUUUGGAAGGGACUCAGAAAACCGCCCUGCCUCAUCCAUAGGUUCCUUAACUUCAAGGGUCCCAACUCUAGUGGGGAGCUGACCCAGGUCAUGCCUAUUUCACGGUCCUGCAAACACUCAAGGGACCCAAUUAAAAGCCACAGGCAUGAUGGCAGCCAGGCCAGGAGACCCAGUGGCCACUCAGACAUCUCAACGGAGUCAAGUUAACAUUGAUUGUUAUGGAGACGGCCAGUUUUCUUCAUGAAUGAACAGCUGUUCCAUCACUCUGUCCAAAGGAACACUGCCAAAGUCUGGGGGCCCAGCUGGCUCCCAACAAAGGCACACACUGCCAGAGAGGGGGCUCAGCGGGAGAAGUGACCCAGCCUUCUUUGACAGGUCAAUUGAGCUCUGCUGUAGAAAAUGCUUCACACAGGCCUGUUUUCUCUCCCCCUCACCCGCAGGGCAAACAUGGCUUGAUUGUUAAAAUGACCAUGAAUAACUGUGGCUGGCUUUUUUCCCUGUUGGUGGCUGCACGUACUGAUUUUUCCACUACUUUCAAAAUCCUUUCUAAAGGGUGUUGGGAGGAAGUUCUAGAAGACAAACACUCCGUAUAAAUGAACCCCCAAACAGAGGGGUGUUAUCACCGACCUCAGAGCAGCCUUUCAAGUAUGCAGACUCUGUCCGUAAGACACCACCUUCUCACUAAUUGAAAGGAUGCUAAUUCUUGCUGAGUCCCUCUUGCUUGCUCUACAAAGUUGAAGCUGGUUGGAUCUAAACUUUGUGCUGUGUUCUCUCUUUGUAUCUGCUCUUUGUAGAACAUUACCUGUGGUGGAGGAUAUAACUAUGGAGACUGGAGUCCCUGCCCUCAGUAAACUCACAGUCGCUUGGACCCGCAAGUGCACAAGAAGAUGGGGUGGAAUAGAAAAGUGGCACUGAGCUGAUACCCAGCUUGCCAAAGUCAAGCCUGUGUCCUCACAAACUCCAGAGCUAAGCAAAGGGAGGAUGAAUCACAGAAAUACAUGGCUUUAAAGCACUGAGGUCAGGACUGUGCACCCAUUAAAAAGAACAAGGCAGAGCCAUAUGUGCUGACAGGGAGCAAGCCCAGAACACACUGGACACUGACAAAAAAUUCAAAUGGAAGUGCAAAGAUCCUGGAAGAGCCAAAACAAGUCUGGAAAAGAACAGAGUUGAAGAACUAACGGCUGGGAGUUGGUUGGAUGAAGAGCAGGAGGGGGAGCUUUAUACGUAUUUAAUGUGUGAAUCAUGUGAAUGUAUUACCUAUUCAAAAAAUGAAAUUCAAAAGCACUUAUGCCGCUUCUUAAGGCACAGUUUAUGCUAAAUUUCGAGAGCAAAUUAUCAGGAAGUAUUGCAAAUCUUCCAUUUUGGUAAGAAAAAAAGUCAAAUUGUCCAUCAGAUCAAUUUAAGCCAAGGUUUGGAUCCUGGGGCUAUUGUUGUUUACAAAGACACUAAGUUAUUUCUGAGAACAUUAGGAAAUGUUGCGUCUGAGCAAGGUAUUUUUUAACCCUAUGCCGUGGUCACAUCUGGUCCCAAAGCAAAGAAACUCUUUAUCAAGAAAGAAGGUGAAUUUCUGGUUCCCUCCUCCAUCUGAGAUCUCAACCAACAAGACUUUUUCCUUUUCCUUCCUUUUCUUUUUUUAAUUGAAAUAUAGUUAAUUUACAAUGCUGUGUUUUCUUUUUUAAGGCAAUUUUAUCGACGUAUGAUUGGCAGACAAUAAACUGUACACAUUUAAAGUGUAUAA